UGAGGUGCAGCCCCUUCGUGUUGACCCCGACAUAGACGCGGAUGACUUUGUGGUUGCUGGCGCUGGCCUUGGUGUAGACCUGGCCCGUGAAGAAGGCCGCUCCGUAGGUCGGGAUGUCCCAGCAGUUCUGCAGGAAGAGCCGCUGCAGCUGCCGUAGAUGAUCUGCAGGAGGAGGCUGGCCAGUGUGAUAAGCUUGCUGUCUGGAGCAGGAAAGAAGCCCUUCAGGAGGCAGUGACGAGCCUCGUCGAACAGAAUGAGGAUGGCCAGAGGAUCCUCCACCUGGGACAAGACAGUGAGGACCAGAGUGAGGACCAACACCUGACAAGAAGGCAGACGGACGUCCCUGCGAAGGAAGAGCUGAGGCGUUUCCCUUUGUGGGUCCAGCACCGUCAGGUCCGUCACAAUCUCUGUCCAGAUCCGCAGGUGCUGCAGGGGUUUGUGGUACGGCUUCAGCUGCAGAGAUUGUUCCUGGACGGCCUCUCCCUGCUGGUCCAUGUUCAGGACGAGCUGACUUUGCACUGACUGAGCACCUCCUGCAUCUUCAGCUGGAUGUCCUCCACCCUCUUGGCCCACUUCUCCCGCACCUCGUCUUCGUCGUCCUCUGUAACAGCUGUGUAGGCCAUGAGGGCGAUGAGGCCCAUGUGGAACAGGUUUCGUUCACCUCGUCGAUGCGGAUCUUCCUUAGGCAUUGGUGGUUCUUUUCAGAGAUGCUCUCCAGUUUGGUGUUGAGCGACUGGAAGUCUUUGUCCAGAGCGUGGCCCUCCUCUGUAUCCAGGCCCUUGCGAGCCACCCCAACCAGGGAGGAGACGAUGCCGAAGAUGGGGUCGAUGG